rnacentral:lncRNA from 10 species
CUUGAAGUGCUGGUGAAAAACAGGAUUGAAAAACAGGAAGGAAGAAGCAGAGAUUUGACUUAUGGAGAUUGAACUAGAGGACUAAAGCACUGCACCUGGCCCACCAUGAUGUUGUCACUGGAUCCUGGACAGUUACUUCACAUGCCUGAAUUUCUACCUCAUCCAGGUAACAUGCUUGCUCUGCAGUUAGAAUAGUCAAUAAGACCAAGGGCUGAACAGAAGCCUGCUAAUUGUCCAAACCACUCAUGUCUGGCUGCCAACUGGCAAGUUUCUCCUGGAACAGUAGUGCACUACUCAGUGACAGAAGUCACUGUAGAUCAACCUGAGACAAUUCCCUCCCCCAAGGGGAGCACAGCAGAGGACUCAAAGACUUUGCCAACCAGAAGUCUGAAGACUUAAUUUCUCCUGGGAGGAGUAGCUGCUGUACAAACCGAUAAAAUCACACCCCAAGAAACCCAGACUAUAAAAUACCUCUUUGUAAAAUUCACAGUGUAAUAGAGGUAAAAGGAUUAGAUUUGUGCUUCAGUAUCCUCCUUUUGAUUGCAGAUGAACAGGAAAAGAAUGAAACUUUAUAAGGUAGACUGGGGCAGUUAAUCAGUUUUAAAGUGAGAAGUAUAUUGGAGAAUAUGUAAGUUCAACCUUGAUACAUAUUAUACUUCUUGUCUGUGUUUAACUAUAUAUCAUAUGAUUUAUUACACAUUUUAUAAUAAUUAAUUAUACAUUUAUACACACACACACACACACACACACACACACACACACACACACACACUCUCUCUCUCUCCUUGAUUUGGUGGGGGAAAACAACACAAAUUAUAGAAAAUCUGUUUCUCAGCCAGGGCAAUGGGGUCAAAAAAAGAUUACUGUUCAGUCUAAACCAAUUGCCUUCCAAGCUAAUAAACUUAAAGACAUUUCACUCACUUGAUAAUGUCAGGGCCAACUUGGGGGCCCACCAUAGGCAAAUUUUGCUUUGUGUGCCUAUUCAUAAUAAGGUCAAGGUAACAUUAUGUCUUGAAUUGAAGACUUUUUUUUUUUUGUCAAGGAAUAUAAACACAAAAGAUGCUUCUGUGAUGGAGACAGUGAAUAAUUAGGAAGUAGAAAGUGGAUUUCAUUGUUUAGUCUGGGUUUG